UACAGAGGGUGCGAGCGUUAAUCGGAAUUACUGGGCGUAAAGCGUGCGUAGACGGUUAUCUAAGUCGGAUGUGAAAGCCCCGGGCUCAACCUGGGAAUUGCAUUCGAGACUGAAUAGCUAGGGUACGGUAGAGGGAAGUGGAAUUUCCGGUGUAGCGGUGAAAUGCGUAGAUAUCGGAAGGAACAUCAGUGGCGAAGGCGGCUCACUGGACUGGUAUUGACGCUGAGGUGCGAAAGCGUGGGGAGCAAACAGG
rnacentral:rRNA from 1 species